GUGCGGUUAAUUUUCCUAGUAUUAACAGUAACUAAACUAAGAGGAGAUGAUAUCUCUUCUUUUCUGGCCUCAUUGAAACAGUAAACAGGUGCUUGCCAAUUUGGAUCCUCCAACACUUUUCCUACUUCAAGUAUUAUUACAUGUGAAACUGCACCGGCACAAGCCCAAAUUUCUUUCGUUAACUUCUCUUCAGAGAGACCAAAGGGCGCAAAUUUCAGUAGAAAGACUUUCCCUAAUUUUAAUUUCUAAAGUCCUAACCCGCCCGCUUUUAAAAAUUUAGUACUACUAUUUUACUUUUGACCCGCACCACACUGCAAUCGGGCUAAUCUCAAUCCGUCCCGCCCACACAGACUUACACCUGCACAGUUCCAUUGCCAUCACUACUCCCAAAACCCUACUUGCCAUAUGAAACUCCCAAGAUCCAAAACCCUAAAUUUUUUACAGCUAUAAAAUCCCCCUCAAUUCCAAGCCCUUGUCAUUCUUCAUUCGAUACUACCGCCUCGGCUGCAAUCCAGUGCUACAUACAGUUAUGGUUGCUGUUGCUAGAGGCCGUGGAGGAAGGGGUGGGUUUAGGCCUUUAGGGGUGGCCGAGGAGAUGGAGGAAGAGGAGCAAGAGGAGGUUUUGGCGGUGGUAGAGGGAGAGGGAGUGGGGGUGGGGGAAUUGCUAUGCAGCGCCGAGGAGGCAGAGGAGGUGAAAGAGGAAGAGGCAUGGGACGUGGAGGAAUGAAGGGUGGUAAUAGGGUUGCGUUGGUGCCUCACAGACAUGAGGGAGUUUUUAUUGCUAAGCUCAAAGAGGAUGCUCUUUGUACAAAGAAUCUGGUCCCGGCAGAGGCGAACCCACAGCUAUUAGUGGGGGUGCACGUGCUCCCGUUAAUGUCGAAAAAAAUUAUGCGCAUAUAUGUGUAUAUACCUUCAGAAAUUGAGAUAUAUUUAAUAGUGCACCCACAAAUGAAUGCUAGUGCACCUUGUCGCGCUGGCAUAGGACAUCACAUUUGUCCAUGCGACCAGGGAUCAAUCCCUGGAUUGCGCAACAUUUUCUCUUUUAUUUUCAAUCUUCAGAUUAAAGGCUUACUAUUUCAUUAAGUUGAAUGCUAGUGCACCUUGAUGUGCUAGUUGAAGCCAAUGCUUCCGUCCAUGCGACUAGGGAUCGAUCCCUGGUAGCACAAUAUUUUUUCUAUUACUAAAUUUAUAAUAUCAAAA